rnacentral:rRNA from 1 species
GGAUGAACGCUGGCGGCGUGCCUACUACAUGCAAGUCGAGCGAACGGACGAGAAGCUUGCUUCUCUGAUGUUAGCGGCGGACGGGUGAGUAACACGUGGAUAACCUACCUAUAAGACUGGGAUAACUUCGGGAAACCGUAGCUAAUACCGGAUAAUAUUUUGAACCGCAUGGUUCAAAAGUGAAAGACGGUCUUGCUGUCACUUAUAGAUGGAUCCGCGCUGCAUUAUCUAGUUGGUAAGGUAACGGCUUACCAAGGCAACGAUGCAUAGCCGACCUGAGAGGGUGAUCGGCCACACUGGAACUGAGACACGGUCCAGACUCCUACGGGAGGCAGCAGUAGGGAAUCUUCCGCAAUGGGCGAAAGCCUGACGGAGCAACGCCGCGUGAGUGAUGAAGGUCUUCGGAUCGUAAAACUCUGUUAUUAGGGAAGAACAUAUGUGUAAGUAACUGUGCACAUCUUGACGGUACCUAAUCAGAAAGCCACGGCUAACUACGUG